rnacentral:rRNA from 1 species
UACGUAGGGUGCGAGCGUUAAUCGGAAUUACUGGGCGUAAAGCGUGCGCAGGCGGUUUUGCAAGCCGGAUGUGAAAUCCCCGGGCUUAACCUGGGAAUGGCAUUUGGGACUGCAAGGCUGGAGUGCGGCAGAGGAGACUGGAAUUCCUGGUGUAGCAGUGAAAUGCGUAGAUAUCAGGAGGAACACCGAUGGCGAAGGCAGGUCUCUGGGACGGUACUGACGCUGAGACGCGAAAGCGUGGGGAGCGAACAGG